UACGAAGGGGGCUAGCGUUGCUCGGAAUCACUGGGCGUAAAGGGCGCGUAGGCGGAUCUUUAAGUCGGGGGUGAAAGCCCAGGGCUCAACCCUGGAAUUGCCUUCGAUACUGGAGAUCUUGAGACCGGAAGAGGUAAGUGGAACUGCGAGUGUAGAGGUGAAAUUCGUAGAUAUUCGCAAGAACACCAGUGGCGAAGGCGGCUUACUGGUCCGGUUCUGACGCUGAGGCGCGAAAGCUAGGGGAGCAAACGGGG
rnacentral:rRNA from 1 species